rnacentral:rRNA from 1 species
AUCGAACGCUGGCGGCAUGCCUAACACAUGCAAGUCGGGCGAGCGGCGGACGGGUGAGUAAUGUAUGGGGAUCUGCCUGAUCGAGGGGGAUAACUACGGGAAACGGUAGCUAAUACCGCAUACCGUGAGAUCAACCCAUAUGGGAUGAGCUUGUGGGUGAGGUAUCGGCUCACCAGGACGACGAGGCCUAGCUGGGCUGAGAGGCUGAUCAGCCACACUGGUACUGAGACACGGCCCAGACUCCUACGGGAGGCAGCAGUGGGGAAUCUUCGACAAUGGGCGCAAGUCUGAUGCAGCAAUGCCGCGUGUGUGAAGAAGGCUUUCGGGUUGUAAAUUACUUUCGGUCGAGAGGCGGUACCUACAGAGGAAGCCCCGGCUAACUCCGUGCCAGCAGCCGCGGUAAUAC